rnacentral:tRNA from 1 species
GCCCACAUGGUGAAACUGGUAGACACGCCAUCUUGAGGGGGUGGAGCUCGAAAGGGUGUAAGAGUUCGAAUCUCUUUGUGGGCACCA